UACGUAGGGUGCAAGCGUUAAUCGGAAUUACUGGGCGUAAAGCGUGCGCAGGCGGUUGUGCAAGACCGAUGUGAAAUCCCCCGGGCUUAACCUGGGAAUGGCAUUUGGGACUGCAAGGCUUGAGUGCGGCAGAGGAGACUGGAAUUCCUGGUGUAGCAGUGAAAUGCGUAGAUAUGUGGAGGAACACCGAUGGCGAAGGCAGCCCCCCUGGGUCAAGACUGACGCUCAUGCACGAAAGCGUGGGGGAGCAAACAGG
rnacentral:rRNA from 1 species